CUCUUCUCUGAUAGAAAACGUCUCUUCUUUCCCUUAACUCUCUAAUUUUCGUUUUUGAUUUUAGGGUAGCAAUAUGCAACCCCCUUUUACUCUUCUCCUUUUUUAUCUUUUUCUAUUCUAUCUCUAUCUUUUUAAUUAAAAUAGUAUGUCUCAUUUAAUCUAUAAAACCACCAAGAUUUUCUCUCUUAUUUUAUCUUAUGUAUUAUUUAAAAUAUCAACAACCACCAAAUAUUUCAAAGAUUAUCUAUACCCCCUUAACUUAAUGUCCAGACCAGUUAAUGAGAGUAUAAGACUCUUUUGCCCUUGAGCCCAAAAUAUUAAUUAAAACCAAAAGUUUACUUUAACUCUUUAUUUCUAGAAUUUGGUCCACCCCUAUUCAAUCCCAAAUCAUCUUUCUACCAUCAAUCCAACACAUCAUAUUAGUAACAACACACCACUCAAAAUAUCAUUAUAACAACAUACCAAUCAU
rnacentral:lncRNA from 1 species